GGCCUAAUGGCCCAAUGGCAAGGCGCUUGACUACGAUUAAGUUCAAUAUCAAGAGAUUCCAGGUUCGACCCCUGGUUAGGUCA
rnacentral:tRNA from 1 species